GUGGAGCAUGUGGCUUAAUUUGACUCAACACGGGAAAUCUUACCGGGUCCGGACACACUGAGGAUUGACAGGUGAAUGUAGUUUGUGUUUCCUUCUUGGAUUCACAGGCUCUGCAAAUAUGCUAGUCCUUUCAUGAUUGUGUGAUAGGUGGUGCAUGGCCGUUCUUAGUUCGUGGAGCAAUCUGUCUGCUUAAUUGCGCCAUUAAUAGUGGACCAUACUCUAUAUGUGGUCUGAGUUGCUAUUGCUCCUGCGACUCUGUCGUUAGGUUGUCAAUUAGUAGCUUAGUUUCCACUGGGUAGGUGUCCCCUGGCAACGAACGUGACCGCAACUUUUAGUUGCUCUGAUUUACAGGUGAGUUCAAAUUUCUAUUUGUCUCACUAGAGCUAAACUAAAGGGACCGCUAACAUUUAAUAACUUGGAGGAAGGUUGCGGCAAUAACAGGUCUGUGAUGCCCUUAGAUGUCCCGGGCCGCACACGUGCUACAAUGAUCUAUGCAGUAAGCAUGUAACAAGACUCUAUUGCACACCUAACAGCCUCGGUUGUUUAGGUUGUGUAUAGUGCAAGCCUUCUUCGAAAGUAAGUAGGCAAUCAAUUCUAAGUAUAGAUUUCCAUUUUGACAUUUAUUGUCUUGCUGUGAUUACACAGUCUUGGCAUUUGUUUAACUAUAAUUCAUGGUGGGGACAGACCCUUGUUAAUUGUUGGUCUCGGUCUCAACUAGGAAUGCCUUGUACGGGUCUUUGGUUCAACAAACCACCCGGAAUAUGUCCCUGCCCUUUGUACACACCGCCCGUCGCUCUUACCGAUGAACUUCUCUGUGAGUCUGAGGGACUUGCUCUGCGGGAAACUUAGACGAACAGGGUGGUUUAAAG
rnacentral:rRNA from 1 species